rnacentral:lncRNA from 10 species
AGACCCGGUGCCACGUACCAUGGGUGCAAAGGGGAGCAGCAUAGGUAAGAUCUGUGCCUUCCGAAGAGGGUAGAGUCUUCUGGAGGGACAUUACAAAUAAUCAGGCACUCCCAGUGCUGGGAGCUAAGUUCUGUUACAGGGAAGAGAAAGAAACAAUGGGAAUACCAAGGAGGAUAUUUACAGAGGGGGAAGGCUUUGAGCUGAAAUUGAACGGUGAAUAAAGGCUGAGCAGCCAUGUAGAGACGGGGUUCCACCGUGUUAGCCAGGAUGGUCUCGAUUUCCUGACCUCGUCAUCCUCCCGCCUUGGCCUCCCAAAGUGCUGGGAUUACAGGCUUGAGCCACCGCGCCCCGCUCUUUCGUGUUCCAAAGGCUUUUUAAAUAAACUUCCACUCCUGUCCUGGAUUCUGCUUUAUGGCCCUCAGUCGAAUUCUUUCUUCUGAGGAGGCAAGGACUGAAGUUGCUUCUGACCAGUACAGGUACGCCGCAGGAGAAAACGAAUACAGCAGGGAUGACUUCCACCAGCUCCACUUUGCAGCUCUGAGGUGUAUUAAAAAUAAACCUAGAGCCCCACCAAAUGAAUCCGCUGGCACGUGGACCUCAGAUGGGGGAAACUGAGGACUGAAUUCUGACCACCCUCCUUUGUUCUAAAUUUCUUCCUGAAGGACCUGGAAGAAGUCAUGCCACGGGCCAGACCUUAACAUUCCUUUCGGCUUACCCCAGGAUUUCAGACAAAGCUUCACUUUCCUAACCAGUCACAAAUCAGAGAAUUUUUGAUUCCACCUAUGACCUGUGAGCUCCUGCUUCAAGAUAUUCCACCUUUUUUAGGCCAAACCAAUGUAUAACCUCCAAGUGUCGAUUUACACUUUCGACUGUAACUUCUGCUUUCCUGAGAUUUACCCCUGCCUUUAAAAACCCUUGCUUGUAAUCCCUCAGGGAGGCCGUGUAUUUAUUAAUCAUGAGCUGCCCAAUUCUCCUUGCUUGGUGCCCUGCAAAUAAACACCCUCUUUUCUCCCACUGCAAAACCUCAGUGUGGAUGUUUGGCUUUACUUCACCCCCAGGAAAGCAGACCCAGGUUUGACUCAGCAACAACAUCUGUUUCUAUUUUUCUCUGUAUAAAUAUUAAAAACCAUAAGUACAUGCUAUCUCCAAUUCCAAUAUAAACCCAUA